AGAUGAUGACGAUGCCACGAGAUGAUGAUGAUGGUGAUGCCUGAUUUUAUGGCAGUGGCGUGCCCGUAAGCUAUUUUUAAAUUGCUGCUCUGCAUAGGACACAGAACUAGGAGCAGGAUCCUUCCUCUUGCCAGAAAAAUGGAACAUUGUUCGCGCAGGACACCAAAUUCCAAAACACUGAGAGUUAAAGGUGCACUGGAAAAUUACAAAAGAACCCUUAAGUUCGAAACAAUAUUUCU
ensembl:ncRNA lncRNA:CR45741 long non-coding RNA:CR45741